CAUCAAGGGAAGAGAUUGGAACCCUGAUGAUGAAAAAAGUAAGAUGGCUUGGAAAUUUCCUAGACCUCAACGGAUUCGUACCUUUAUUUGGAUGAUUUUACAUGGAAGAGUUCUUAGUAAUGUUGAAAGAGUUAGGAGAGGUAUCUUGGAUGAUCUUUGGUGUCCUAUUUGCGAUUUUCACUUAGAAGACAUUGUGCACAUCAUACAUGAUUGUCCGACAGCUAAAGAUGUUUGGACUCAGGUUAAUCCAGGUAAGUAUAUUCCAAAUGUUUAUUCUCUUCCUUUUCAAGACUGGUUUUUUCUUAACUUGUAGGGGAAUAGGCUGGUUCAUGAGGAGGGAGCUAGUUGGGCUUGUUUUUUUGGAUUACUUAUUUAGCGCAUAUGGAAAAAUCAGAACUUAUACAUCUUUCAGGGCAAACCGUGGAGCUCAAAUGAAAUAGUUCAAGGAUCUUACAGUUGGGCGUUACAUUUCUUCUCUUUCCCUUAAGAGAUCCCUUCUGGAUGUCUUGAUCAACCUGUUGAUGUCCAUACCUCCGCAGAACAGGUUCAUCUUUUCACUAAUGGGGCAAUGCAAUUAGACUCUAGACUUACUGUGGCUAGGGGAGUUGUUCGUGACAAAGAGGGGCAUUGGAUCACUAGUUUCUACCAUUUUCUUGGAAAAUGUUCAGAUUUCAAUGCAGAACUGUGAGUAUAUUCCGAGGGAACAAAAUCAGAUUGUGGAUUAUUUAGCUAAGCAAGCUAUUAUCGAGAAAGGAAAUCUACAAGUUCUAGAUGUCCCAGUGGAGAUGGCUCGUGUUUUAAUUGAUAGGAAUAAGUUUUCAGACAAUUCUUUUGUUUAAGUGUUACUCUUGUAAUUUUGUUUUUUUUUCUCACCCCCAAAAAAAAAAGUUGAAGAGGAAUUAUGACGUAUUGUAUAAAAAGAUUGAUAAAUUAAUCAAAAUAUGAGCACCAUACCAUUUUUCAUUUUCAACAUUGAUAAAUUAUUUUAAUUUUAUUUAAUAUAAAAUAUUCAACGAAAA